GGGUUGUGAGGUUAAGCGACUAAGCGUACACGGUGGAUGCCCUGGCAGUCAGAGGCGAUGAAGGACGUGCUAAUCUGCGAUAAGCGUCGGUAAGGUGAUAUGAACCGUUAUAACCGGCGAUUUCCGAAUGGGGAAACCCAGUGUGAUUCGUCACACUAUCAUUAACUGAAUCCAUAGGUUAAUGAGGCGAACCGGGGGAACUGAAACAUCUAAGUACCCCGAGGAAAAGAAAUCAACCGAGAUUCCCCCAGUAGCGGCGAGCGAACGGGGAGGAGCCCAGAGCCUGAAUCAGUGUGUGUGUUAGUGGAAGCGUCUGGAAAGGCGCGCGAUACAGGGUGACAGCCCCGUACACAAAAAUACACAUGCUGUGAGCUCGAUGAGUAGGGCGGGACACGUGGUAUCCUGUCUGAAUAUGGGGGGACCAUCCUCCAAGGCUAAAUACUCCUGACUGACCGAUAGUGAACCAGUACCGUGAGGGAAAGGCGAAAAGAACCCCGGCGAGGGGAGUGAAAAAGAACCUGAAACCGUGUACGUACAAGCAGUGGGAGCACAGAGCAAUCUGUGUGACUGCGUACCUUUUGUAUAAUGGGUCAGCGACUUAUAUUCUGUAGCAAGGUUAACCGAAUAGGGGAGCCGAAGGGAAACCGAGUCUUAACUGGGCGUUAAGUUGCAGGGUAUAGACCCGAAACCCGGUGAUCUAGCCAUGGGCAGGUUGAAGGUUGGGUAACACUAACUGGAGGACCGAACCGACUAAUGUUGAAAAAUUAGCGGAUGACUUGUGGCUGGGGGUGAAAGGCCAAUCAAACCGGGAGAUAGCUGGUUCUCCCCGAAAGCUAUUUAGGUAGCGCCUCGUGAAUUCAUCUCCGGGGGUAGAGCACUGUUUCGGCAAGGGGGUCAUCCCGACUUACCAACCCGAUGCAAACUGCGAAUACCGGAGAAUGUUAUCACGGGAGACACACGGCGGGUGCUAACGUCCGUCGUGAAGAGGGAAACAACCCAGACCGCCAGCUAAGGUCCCAAAGUCAUGGUUAAGUGGGAAACGAUGUGGGAAGGCCCAGACAGCCAGGAUGUUGGCUUAGAAGCAGCCAUCAUUUAAAGAAAGCGUAAUAGCUCACUGGUCGAGUCGGCCUGCGCGGAAGAUGUAACGGGGCUAAACCAUGCACCGAAGCUGCGGCAGCGACGCUUAUGCGUUGUUGGGUAGGGGAGCGUUCUGUAAGCCUGCGAAGGUGUGCUGUGAGGCAUGCUGGAGGUAUCAGAAGUGCGAAUGCUGACAUAAGUAACGAUAAAGCGGGUGAAAAGCCCGCUCGCCGGAAGACCAAGGGUUCCUGUCCAACGUUAAUCGGGGCAGGGUGAGUCGACCCCUAAGGCGAGGCCGAAAGGCGUAGUCGAUGGGAAACAGGUUAAUAUUCCUGUACUUGGUGUUACUGCGAAGGGGGGACGGAGAAGGCUAUGUUGGCCGGGCGACGGUUGUCCCGGUUUAAGCGUGUAGGCUGGUUUUCCAGGCAAAUCCGGAAAAUCAAGGCUGAGGCGUGAUGACGAGGCACUACGGUGCUGAAGCAACAAAUGCCCUGCUUCCAGGAAAAGCCUCUAAGCAUCAGGUAACAUCAAAUCGUACCCCAAACCGACACAGGUGGUCAGGUAGAGAAUACCAAGGCGCUUGAGAGAACUCGGGUGAAGGAACUAGGCAAAAUGGUGCCGUAACUUCGGGAGAAGGCACGCUGAUAUGUAGGUGAAGCGACUUGCUCGUGGAGCUGAAAUCAGUCGAAGAUACCAGCUGGCUGCAACUGUUUAUUAAAAACACAGCACUGUGCAAACACGAAAGUGGACGUAUACGGUGUGACGCCUGCCCGGUGCCGGAAGGUUAAUUGAUGGGGUCAGCGCAAGCGAAGCUCUUGAUCGAAGCCCCGGUAAACGGCGGCCGUAACUAUAACGGUCCUAAGGUAGCGAAAUUCCUUGUCGGGUAAGUUCCGACCUGCACGAAUGGCGUAAUGAUGGCCAGGCUGUCUCCACCCGAGACUCAGUGAAAUUGAACUCGCUGUGAAGAUGCAGUGUACCCGCGGCAAGACGGAAAGACCCCGUGAACCUUUACUAUAGCUUGACACUGAACAUUGAGCCUUGAUGUGUAGGAUAGGUGGGAGGCUUUGAAGUGUGGACGCCAGUCUGCAUGGAGCCGACCUUGAAAUACCACCCUUUAAUGUUUGAUGUUCUAACGUGGACCCGUAAUCCGGGUUGCGGACAGUGUCUGGUGGGUAGUUUGACUGGGGCGGUCUCCUCCUAAAGAGUAACGGAGGAGCACGAAGGUUGGCUAAUCCUGGUCGGACAUCAGGAGGUUAGUGCAAUGGCAUAAGCCAGCUUGACUGCGAGCGUGACGGCGCGAGCAGGUGCGAAAGCAGGUCAUAGUGAUCCGGUGGUUCUGAAUGGAAGGGCCAUCGCUCAACGGAUAAAAGGUACUCCGGGGAUAACAGGCUGAUACCGCCCAAGAGUUCAUAUCGACGGCGGUGUUUGGCACCUCGAUGUCGGCUCAUCACAUCCUGGGGCUGAAGUAGGUCCCAAGGGUAUGGCUGUUCGCCAUUUAAAGUGGUACGCGAGCUGGGUUUAGAACGUCGUGAGACAGUUCGGUCCCUAUCUGCCGUGGGCGCUGGAGAACUGAGGGGGGCUGCUCCUAGUACGAGAGGACCGGAGUGGACGCAUCACUGGUGUUCGGGUUGUCAUGCCAAUGGCACUGCCCGGUAGCUAAAUGCGGAAGAGAUAAGUGCUGAAAGCAUCUAAGCACGAAACUUGCCCCGAGAUGAGUUCUCCCUGACUCCUUGAGAGUCCUGAAGGAACGUUGAAGACGACGACGUUGAUAGGCCGGGUGUGUAAGCGCAGCGAUGCGUUGAGCUAACCGGUACUAAUGAACCGUGAGG
rnacentral:rRNA from 1 species